rnacentral:tRNA from 2 species
GGCCGAGUGGUGAAAUUGGCAUACACGCAACACUUAAAAUGUUGUGGGCGCAAGCUCGUGCGGGUUCAAGUCCCGCCUCGGCCA